UAAGUAAGUGGUGGAAAUUAAACCAAAUGGGAUAUCUUUAGUAAUUGCGAAUGAACAAGGAUAUGCUUAGCUUGACAAAUGGAGCUAUUGGCUUUGAAUUGUAUUUGUGGAAUGUAUUACCAACAGAGGUGCAGGUGCCAGCCUAUUAAAUAAAGCGUCAAUGAGGGUGAGAAUCCUGUUUGUCAUGUGCAGCCCUUUGUGCACGGUGUAUAUUUGCUGAGUCACACUCCUUGGCAUUGGAAUGCAAAGUGGGUGGUAAGUUUCAUGUACAGGUAAACAUGCAAUUGAGACUGAUAGCACACAAGUACCAUGAGGGAAAUAUGAAAAGGACUUUGAAAAGAGAAUUAAAUGAGUUCGUAUUUGCUGAACACAAAGUAAACAGACUUGAUUUGCUUGGUGGGAGUGUUGCACUUGCUUGACAAGAGCUUUGGGCUGUGGGUGUAAUGAUUCUUUCUUUGCAUGCCAGUUUCUAUGUGUACAUCUGAUUACCUUUGCACAUGAAUGAUAAGUCUCCUGUGGGGGGUGGAUUGCAUGUGCAUGUAAUGAUUUGUGUUUUGAUAAAUGUGUCUGGUGUAUGUGUAUGUGUUCCUGUGCUUGGGGAUGCUUCCUUCCUUGGACUUACAAGCCCUGACACACACAUGCUGGCAAAAUGCUUCUGCUUGACCCG
rnacentral:rRNA from 1 species